rnacentral:rRNA from 1 species
UACAGAGGGCGCGAGCGUUGUCCGGAAUCACUGGGCGUAAAGGGCGCGUAGGCGGCCACUGCAAGUCAGUUGUGAAAUCUCCGGGCUUAACCCGGAAAGGUCACUGAUACUGCGGGGCUAGAGUGCAGAAGGGGCAACUGGAAUUCUCGGUGUAGCGGUGAAAUGCGUAGAUAUCGAGAGGAACACCUGCGGCGAAGGCGGGUUGCUGGGCUGACACUGACGC